UUUUUUUUUUUUUUUUUUCAAACUUGAUACUUGGCAAAAUCUGGUAUAUCCUGCUUCCUAUUCCGUUCUUGGCCCCUAGACUCUGAAGAUCCAUAACCACAGGCCAGUUGCACGCUUGCUUUCUUUGGUGUGUAAGUGUAUCUGCCAGGACUAUGGGACUGCCCUGAUGGACACUUUCUGUAGUUAAAAGGGAGCAACAUUUUUUUUUUUUUUUUUUUAGGGCCACACCCAUGGCAUGUGGAAGUUCCCAGUGGCUACAGCUCCGAUUGGACCCCUAGCCUUGGAAUCUCCAUGUUCUGCAAGAGAGGCCCUAGCAAAGGCCAAAAGACAAAAAAAUAAAAUAAAUAAAUAAAUAAAUAAACUCAAUUGGGAAUAUGGGAAAUUUAGUUCAUUUGUAGAUUAACAGGGUAGCUGGGUGGGCUACUCUUGACACAUGACUUAGAUGAAGCCAAAAAUUAACUUGGUUUUUGACUCACCGUCUUCCCUAGCCUUGGAAUCUUGGCUGAAGAACUGCAGAUGAUUACAACAGCAGGAGAAAAAUGAAAUUUACCUGUUUAGUUUCAUUUAGACAUUCUAACUGGGAAAAAAACAAAAAAAGAGUAAAGGCAAAAACUCUCCUACUCUGUUUGGGGAGACCAGUUAGUAGUUAUAUUUUCCUGGGUGGCACAAAAUUAGCAUAUGCUUGGAGGAUGCAGAGUAUUUGAUUCAUCAUCUAGUUCUCCUGAUGGCUCUGUGGCCUUGGGCAAGUCAUUUAACUCCUUUGCGCUUUAGUUUAAUUUAUUACAAUAAAUAUGGGGAAUUCCCAUGCAAACAAACAUGAUAUAGUUCAGUGUAUUUACUUCUGGAGUCCUUGCUUCAUAUUUUAGCUCUGCCACUUUGUAGAUCUUUGACAUUGGACUGAUGAACCUUUGAGUCUCAGUUUGCUCAUCUACAGCAUGCAGAGGGCAGUACGAAUAGCGGUGCCCUUAGGACUGAUGCGACGAUUAAAAGAGAAUGCAUUUGGAGGGCUCAACACAGUGUCAGCUCACAGUUCAUGCUUACUAAAUGUUAUUAUUGGCACUGUCAUCAUUCUAUCAUUUUUAUUACAUAAAGAUAGAGUGGAAGAUUAGGUUAGCUUCUUGGAGUGGGUGGCUUUAGUGGGAUUUUGACUGGUGGGAAAUGGCAAGCAUACAAACAAUUUGGACAGAAAUAUGAAGGUGGGGAAGGAAAAGAUGAGAGUGGUGGAGGCAGCCUGGUGUGGCUGGGACAUGAGGCAUGUGGGGGUUGUGGUGUGAGGCCAGACUGGGAAGGGAUGCUGGGGCGACGAUGUGGGAGCUGUGAUUGGCCUUGUGUGUAGAUUACACUUUCUUCUGUGCAGGAUGUGAAAGAUUGAAACUUUUGGCGAGGGGAGUGACAUGAUCACACAGAGGUUCUCUGGUGAUAAGGCUUCCAUGUUUUGCAGGUGGAUUUAGAACAAGGAUGGAGGCCUGGGGACCAGCUAGAGAUUGAUUUUAAUAGAAAAAUGGAGACAUAAAUGGGGACUUCAAAAAGGUAUUGACAAGUAGAGGGGAAAGAGAGAGGACAUUUAGACAUGUUAUUAUUGAAUGAGUGAUAGGGAUUCUUUUUUGUGUUUUCUUUUGAAUUAAAGAAUUAGAAGCUAAAAUAGAUCACAAACACUUAAAGACAAGGUCAGUGAUAAAAGACAUAAAAGGAGUGUUUAGUGAGGUGUGUCGGUUUGCUAUCAUUGGAGAGAAGCCACUAUUUAAAACUUUAGUGUCUCAUUAAAAAACCAAAAAACAAAACAAAAAAAAAAAUUAAAACAACAACCAUUUACCAUUUCUCAUGAGCCUAGGAGUCAAGUUGGCAGGUCUGGUCUCAGCUAGACUCAGUCAUGCAACUGUGUUGGACUUUGGGUUGGGUUGCCUCUCUGAACAUCAUGGCCAAGUUCCCCCUAUGUGCAAGUAUUGGCUGGCUGUAGGCUGGUCUAAGAUGACCUCAGUUGGGACAGCUGGGCCCUUUACCAUGUGGUCGCUCAUCCUCCAUCAGGCUAGCCUGGGCUUAUUCUCAGAUCAUGGCAGGUUUCCAAGAGAAAAAGCAAAAGCGUGCAAAGUCUCUUGAGGCCUAAGCUUAGAAUUAGUACAGUGACACUUAACCCACAUCCUGUUGGCUGAAAUGAGGCAUUAGGCAAGUUCAUUUCCAGGGGUGGAGAAACAGACUAUACCUCUCAAUGGGAGGAACCGCACAGUUACAUUGCAAGGAGUAGGUCCCGAGAGGCCAUCAAUGGAAACAGUACCAUCAGUCCUGCUACACAGGGACUGCUCAAAUUGAGCUACUGUGGUCACAUACUAAACAUUUAUUAGACACUUACUAUAUUCCAGUCACUGCUCUAGGCCUUUCCUACCUUCAGGAAGCUUCCUAUUGAGGAAGAGCCGGGGACACAUAGCUAGUGAGGGCACCAAUGGAUAUGCUCUGUCUUCCUUAUAAUUCAUUCCUGCCUUCCCCUGGACUGCUAAAGUGCAGCUUCUGAGGACAUUGAACCUCAGGCUUGGCAUCACUUGGUUCUUGAGCUAAUCUAUACCAAGUCUGGCCAGCAGGUUCUAGAGCUUUCCAGCUUGAGUGGGCUUCUUUGUUUAUUUAUAAUACCUUUAUUUCAUUUCUUUUAUUGGAUCAUUUCCUUCAUUAUAAUGAAACAUAUUUUGUCCUGUAGAAGAUCCCAAAGUCCUUCAUCAGUCUUUUCAGGUAUUCACAGUCUUUGCAAGUGUUCAUAUGCCCUAGAUUUGUGUGCCUAGAUCAUCGUGUCUUUAUUACCAUAGUGUUUUAGCCUUUGAAAUGCUUCUCUGCUAACACCCACCUCACCCUGCCUAUUGCUUGGAAUAUAGGGCUGCAUUUCCCCCCUACUGCCUCUCUGUAGUUUUCUAAAAUCCAUUCAUGUUAGUAUUUCUCUUGUCUUAUAUUUUGGACAUCAAUGGAAUAUCCAUAGCUGAUUACGUAGGAAAUCCUGUUGCUUAUAAGCAGAAAAUAGCUAUCACACAUGGAAUCACUUCUUUAUCCCUGCAUGAAUCCUCCUGUUUUUUUCAGUAUCCUGACCCUUUGAUUAUUGGGGUGGGAGAAGGAUGAACUGACCUGGAGGAGAUCUAAAUGAAUUUUUAGUGAAAGCCCUGGGUAAAGCUUUUGCUAUGUUUUGGUAACAUUUCAUAAACUUGUUUGAUCUUUAUCUUAUUUAAAUUUGUCAUGAAGAAUACAUGUUGUAGUUUUUCACACUAAUAGUAUUUUUGAAUUGUCCCAUUCAGUUUUUGAAAAAUUUGGUUUCUUUUGAGAGUGACAGUAGACUUUUGUCAAAUGCGGGAGACCUCUGGGUGCGUGCACAGUAUAUGCCUCUUCCUGUGAAGACUGCAGAGAUCUAUUUUUCCCAUCUCCUGAAGGACGGACCCCUUCCAAAUCUCUACCUUCUGAGUCCCUGGUCCACUGUUGAGCUACAGCUUUGACCUUCAGUAAGGUACCAAGGUGAAGCAAGGUCUGUGAUGGGGAGAUAAAAAUAUCUGGGUGACUCGGGUCUAGAGCAAAGAGUCUCCCAAAUUUGAUUCACUGGGGUGAAAGAUAGCUCAAGGAUGACAUACAAAGUGGAACUGUGAAGUUCUGGAGCGAGCGUUCUUCUCUCACACCUUCAAGAAAUGAGCCUCAUUAUGUUUUUAUCAGAAAGGGAGACAUAUUGAAUCAUCGGUUUUAAAACCGAAGAGCUGAGCCAUGAUAUAGAAUUCUUUCUGUAUUUUCUUGUAGCCUCAGCUCGAAGACAAAAACGAUAGCUGACAAUCUGACAAAUUCAUCCCUUGAGAAAA
rnacentral:lncRNA from 1 species